CUCCGCCGCGCAACAUAAUUUGGCAACACCUUACAAAUACAUUCCGAAACCAACACGCCCGAAUAUUUUAAAAAGGCUCCUCACGGUUGGGGCAUGAGGUCUAAGAAGCGGAAGAGAUAAAGUGCACGCCCCAUUCCCGUAAGGAUCGCCUAGCGUCUUCACUGUCCCUACGUGGCUCAGCGCGAACCCCGCCUUUUCCGCUUGGUGGCUUGGAAGGCAGCGGAGAGGGAGCGUAAUUUCGUGGGCGCAACUCUGCGUCACACACCCUCGGCAGAAGUUGUGCCCGCAGCCGAUGGACACGGGAUCCUUGAAGUAAUCCAGGCAGAUGGCACACACCACUUCCUCCUGAAGUGUCUGCAAGGCGCUGGGAGCAGUGUCAGAGCCAGCCAUCUUAACGCGCUGCCCCCUACAUCUGACCCCAUCAGCUUCCAAAUGGACAAGAAUUUUCCUGAAGGGUCACUUGGCCGCAUUUAAGUCCAUCUUUCAGCCACCAGUACCAUUCACGUGAAAUGAAAGUCUGACAAAUUCAAGCCAAGCUGUUGCCUCUGUGUCUUUGGGCAUGUUGUUCACUCACCUAGAAGGCUCUCACCUCAAUGCUUCACUUGUAAUCCCUAUUUAACCUUCAAGUCUCUGCCCAGGCAUAAUCUCCUGAAGGAGGCUCUUUCCUGAGGCUGGCACCAGGCUGUGUUCAGACUCCAACUCUGUCACUCUCUGUAUGACCUUGGAUUAGUUUCUUAACAUCCCUGUGCUGCAGUUUCCCCAUCUGCAACAUAAAGAUGAUAGUAGCACACAUGUCAUGGGUUGUUGUGAAGUUGGAUUAAUUGUAAAAUGGUUUGAACAGUGCCCACUGGAGUUAUCUUUUUAUCCUCAUCACCUGCCACUAUAUUCCUUUCCUGUAGUAGAUAAGCCUUGGAAGAAACUCUCCCUUAUCUCCUAUUCUCUCCCACUUUGAGUAGGGUCAAGUGAUUUGAACGCUGAGGGGAAAAAUAAUAUGCCAUGUGUCAUCCUAGGUUUUAUUUUUUUUCUUUCUGGCCACAGUGCUCAGGAUCUUAGUUCCCUGGACAGGGAUCGAACCCAUGCCCCCUGUAGUAGAAGCUUGGAGUCCUAACCACUGGACUGCCAGGGAAUUCCCUGUCAUGCUAGUGGUUCUGAGAGCCUUUUGUCUGGAGAGGGAGGGAGUUGAAACCGAGGUCUGACCUGCCUAAGGUGGGACACCUAUUGGUGGUGUUUGUUAGAAAACUAGCAAGUAAACUCCCAUAUACAAUCUGGGAACCAUCCUGGAGGUCAUGACUGACCCUGAGAAGCCACAGGGAAAAUAUGAGCAAUGAGAACUGGAACUGAGUUUCAAGGCUGGAAUACUUCCCCGUCUCUGAAUGCAGGUUCUCCCCUGCACAUGGAAGCGGGUGGGGAAAGAGCUGGGGAGCAGACCAAGGGAAGAGGGGGCUGCUUAUAAAAGCAAGUUCCUGCUAGCCCCAGGGAGCAGAGCCCAGGUGGGAAGGAGAGCUGGAGAAAGCAAGGGGGAAUGGGUGGAAGAAGAUGGUGAGAGAAGGCUUGUGAGAUCAUCCUGAAGAGACUGUUGAGACUUAAAAGGAACAUAGAGUGGACAUCCAUUAUCAAGAAUACCUAGGUGAAUAAAGACCUGUAAAGUUCAAUACCUAUUUUAUCUUCUUUUUCCUCUGAAUUACGUCUCCUCAGAUCCAAGUGGCAGCUGGGAGAGGGGCUUUGUUUAGAUUCCCUGAGGUUGUGAGGCUUAGCUGUUAUUUAUCAGGGUACACGGGAGGCUUGGUUUUAAGCCCUCUUGCAAAUUCCACAUCCCCAGCAACCAGGCAUACUCUUCUAUUCAUAGGAAGACUGCUAGCCUUCUGAACUCAGCUGGGAGCCGUGGGUUGUUGGAGUAGACCAUUCGGCACACACAGGGCCUCAGGUGCCAUUGUCCCAGGGGCACUGGGAAAACAGCUGCAGUGGAGGGCACUCAGGAACAAGGGCUCAGCAGUGGUGGUGGCUGCCAGUGCAUUUUUCUCAGGACUGAUUUCAGAAAAUUUAUCCACGGAAACUUACAUCAGCCUUUUUAGGCUGAAGGACCCCACACAACUGCAGGUGAUUAAGUUCCAGUUUAUGGUGAGGAGGCGGGUACUUGUCACGCAGACCCUGCGGACCACUUAUCAGAGGUACCAGAGAGGCAGUCUAGCACGGGCUUGGUCCCACAGGGGUUGGCAAAUCUGGCCCUCGGUUUCUUUUUGGAAGGCCCAAGAGCGAGGAACAAUUUUUAAAUUUUAAAGGGGUUGUAACAAAAAUAAAACAAAGGUGAAUAUUAGGACAGAGACUGUAUGUGGCCACAAAA